rnacentral:rRNA from 1 species
CGGACGGGUGAGUAACGCGUGAGAACCUGCCUUCUGGACGGGGACAACAGUGGGAAACUGCUGCUAAUACCCGAUGUGCCGAGAGGUGAAAAGAGAUUCGCCGGAAGAGGGGCUCGCGUCUGAUUAGCUAGUUGGAGAGGUAAAGGCUCACCAAGGCGACGAUCAGUAGCUGGUCUGAGAGGAUGAGCAGCCACACUGGGACUGAGACACGGCCCAGACUCCUACGGGAGGCAGCAGUGGGGAAUUUUCCGCAAUGGGCGAAAGCCUGACGGAGCAAUACCGCGUGAGGGAAGAAGGUCUAUUGAUUGUAAACCUCUUUUCUCAGGGAAGAAGACAUGACGGUACCUGAGGAAUAAGCAUCGGCUAACUCCGUGCCAGCAGCCGCGGUAAUACGGAGGAUGCAAGCGUUAUCCGGAAUUAUUGGGCGUAAAGCGUCCGCAGGUGGCUCGGCAAGUCUGCAGUCAAAGACUGGAGCUUAACUCCAGCAAGGCGGUGGAAACUGAAGAGCUAGAGACCGGUAGGGGUAGAGGGAAUUCCCAGUGGUAGGCGGUUGAAAUGCGUAGAGAUUGGGAAAGAAACACCAGUGGCGAAAGCGCUUCUACUGGGCCCGGUACUGACACUCAGGGACGAAAGCUAGGGGAGCGAAAGGGAUUAGAUACCCCUGUAGUCCUAGCCGUAAACGAUGGAUACUAGGGCGUAGCUUGUAUCGACCAAGCUGUGCCGUAGCUAACGCGUUAAGUAUCCCGCCUGGGGAGUACGCCCGCAAGGGUGAAACUCAAAGGAAUUGACGGGGGCCCGCACAAGCGGUGGAGUAUGUGGUUUAAUUCGAUGCAACGCGAAGAACCUUACCAGGACUUGACAUUUUGGGAAUCCUGCCGAAAGGUGGGAGUGCCUUCGGGAGCCUAAAAACAGGUGGUGCAUGGCUGUCGUCAGCUCGUGUCGUGAGAUGUUGGGUUAAGUCCCGCAACGAGCGCAACCCUCGUCUUUAGUUGCCAGCAGGUAGAGCUGGGCACUCUAGAGAGACUGCCGGUGAUAAGCCGGAGGAAGGUGGGGAUGACGUCAAGUCAGCAUGCCCCUUACGUCCUGGGCGACACACGUACUACAAUGGGAGGGACAAAGGGCAGCGAAACCGCGAGGUGGAGCGAAUCCCAGCAAACCCUGCCUCAGUUCAGAUUGCAGGCUGCAACUCGCCUGCAUGAAGGAGGAAUCGCUAGUAAUUGCA